rnacentral:rRNA from 1 species
UACGGGGGGGGCAAGCGUUGUUCGGAAUUACUGGGCGUAAAGGGUCUGUAGGUGGCUUGCUAAGUCAGACGUGAAAUCCCUCAGCUUAACUGGGGAACUGCGUCUGAUACUGGCAAGCUUGAGUGUCGGAGAGGAAAGCGGAAUUCCUGGUGUAGAGGUGAAAUUCGUAGAUAUCAGGAGGAACACCGGUGGCGAAGGCGGCUUUCUGGACGACAACUGACGCUGAGACGCGAAAGCGUGGGUAGCAAACAGG